CAUGUUGGCUCCUCCUGAGACCGACUCCACCUUGUAGCUCUGAGUCUUCCUGUUCUGAUCCUUCUGGAUCAGCUUGUUGUGCAGCGGAGGCCUGGUGUCCAUCGACCCCCGGCUGUGACCUCCACCCUUCACGGUCGCCACGCCGGGCAACACCGUCACCGUCACCGUCACAUUGGCUUCUUCUACCUGAUUUCCAGCGUUGUCUGCAGGAGUAAAGAUAAGAUGCACAGAUUUGCCACCAGAAGAGAAAUAUGCUGCACCAGGGAAGAUUUCCUCUGUGUUGACUGUUCCCAAACCUGUGGAGGUUUCCACACCACUGGCCACAUCCCCUGCUGACAUCAAAGGAUGGUCAUAUGAGAUCCACCAGAUCUCUUUCUUGACAGUCCACCACCAGAGUGAUGUUACAUGAACCAAUACAGACACUAAAUGAAGAAGAGGGAGAAGAAAAGAGGAAACAAAUAUUUAAAGAAGAAUUAAUGGCAGACAGGAAUGACAGAAAAAUGUAUAUUCAAAUUUCUUUUAUUUGACCAUACAUUUUCAUCAAGAUAGUCUGUUAGAUGUAAAUCACUUGACAUGAAGUGAUACAGAGACAAAAUAAAGAUGAGGAAGCAAAAAAAGAGGAAAAGUUCAGAAAAGAAUAGAAUGGAAAUCAAUGGCAACCCGAAUUGUAGGAAAAAGGAAAUUCAAGUUCUGCAUUUAUUUAUUUGACCAUAAAUUUAAUGGUCCAAGAACCAACACUAACUGCAAAUGAAGAAGAGGAAGAAAAGGAAGAACAAUGAAAGAGGAAAAAAAAGAAUCAAAUAAAAACCUAUGGCUGCCUGGAAUGGUUGGAAAGUUGCAUUUGAAUUUGUAAAACAUAUAUGUAUUUAUUUAUUAAACCAUAAAUUUAAACUGGAAGGUCUCUUAAAAUGUAGAUCCCUUUUAAGCAGAGUCCUGCCAAUACAGAUACUAUUAAGAAGAAAAUAAAAUAAAGGAGGAAAUAAACAUAAAUGCAUGAAAUUAAUGGAAAACAAUGGCUGCC